AGGGAUCAUUACCGAGUGCCGGGCCACAUGGCCCGCGACCUCCAACCCUUUGUUUGAACCGACCUGUUGCCUCGGGGGGCGGCCUCGCCCGUUCCCCGGUGGCCACCUCAAAACUCUUGUCAUGACCGACGUCUGAGUCCUCGAGUAAUCGAAACAAAAACUUUCAACAACGGAUCUCUUGGUUCUGGCAUCGAUGAAGAACGCAGCGAAAUGCGAUAAGUAAUGUGAAUUGCAGAAUUCAGUGAAUCAUCGAAUCUUUGAACGCACAUUGCGCCCCGUGGUAUUCCGCGGGGCAUGCCUGUUCGAGCGUCAUUACACCCCUCCAGCCUCGCUGGGUCUUGGGCACCGCGGCCUCCCGCGCGCCUCCAUGUCGCCCGGCCGCGCCGGCCGUCUCCCAGCGUUGUGCAUCACAGUCCGCUCCGGAGCUCGGUCGACGCGUCGCCGUCGCACCCAUCCAUCUUUCAGGUUGACCUCGGAUCAGGUAGGGAUACCCGCUGAACUUAAGCAUAUCAAUA
rnacentral:rRNA from 1 species